ACCGCGGUAGCCCAAUAAUAAUAGGUAGUGGCAAAGGUCGCAGGUUCAAAUCCUGCCUGCGGUG